UACGUAGGUGGCGAGCGUUGUCCGGAAUUACUGGGUGUAAAGCGCGUGUAGGCGGCAGGCCAAGUCGGUGGUGAAAGCGCCCGGCUCAACUGGGCGAGGUCCAUGGAAACUGGUCAGCUGGAGGACGGUAGAGGCGAGUGGAAUUCCCGGUGUAGUGGUGAAAUGCGUAGAGAUCGGGAGGAACACCUGUGGCGAAGGCGGCUCACUGGACUGGUAUUGACGCUGAGGUGCGAAAGCGUGGGGAGCAAACAGG
rnacentral:rRNA from 1 species